rnacentral:rRNA from 1 species
GCGGCCACUGCUAUCAAGUUCCGACUAAGCCAUGCGAGUCAAGGUAUCGUAAGAUGCCGGCAAACUGCUCAGUAACACGUGGAUAAUCUAAUCUUGAGUAAGGGAUAACUUCGGGAAACUGAAGGUAAUACCUUAUAAUUGCUUAAAACUGGAAUGUUUUUGCAAUAAAAGUUACGACGCUCAAGGAUGAGUCUGCGACCUAUCAGGUAGUAGGUGGUGUAAUGGACCACCUAGCCUCAGACGGGUACGGGCCCUGGGAGGGGUAGCCCGGAGAUGGACUCUGAGACAUAAGUCCAGGCCCUACGGGGCGCAGCAGGCACGAACACUGUGCAAUGCGCGAAAGCGCGACACGGGGAGCUUGAGUGUCUUGGCAUAGCCAAGACUUUUCUCAUUCCUAAAAAGCAUGAGGAAUAAGUGCUGGGUAAGACGGGUGCCAGCCGCCGCGGUAACACCCGCAGCACGAGUAGUGGUCACUUUUAUUGAGCCUAAAGCGUUCGUAGCCGGUUUUGUAAAUCUUCAGAUAAAGCCUGAAGCUUAACUCCAGAAAGUCUGAAGAGACUGCAAGACUUGAGAUCGGGUGAGGUUAAACGUACUUUCAGGGUAGGGGUAAAAUCCUGUAAUCCCGGAAGGACGACCAGUGGCGAAAGCGUUUAACUAGAACGAAUCUGACGGUAAGGAACGAAGGCUAGGGUAGCAAACCGGAUUAGAUACCCGGGUAGUCCUAGCUGUAAACAUUGCCCAUUUGAUGUUGCUUUUCCGUUGAGGGAAGGCAGUGUCGGAGCGAAGGUGUUAAAUGGGCCGCUUGGGAAGUAUGGUCGCAAGACUGAAACUUAA